GACGAACGCUGGCGGCGUGCUUAACACAUGCGAGUCGAACGGUGACCCAGGGCUUGCCCUGGUGAUCAGUGGCGAACGGGUGAGUAACACGUGGGGCAACCUGCCCCUGACUUCGGGAUAACUCCUCGAAAGAGGAGCUAAUACCGGAUACGACCACUUCGGACAAUCCGAUGGUGGUGGAAAGUUUUUCGGUCAGGGAUGGGCCCGCGGCCUAUCAGCUAGUUGGUGGGGUAAUGGCCUACCAAGGCGACGACGGGUAGCCGGCCUGAGAGGGCGACCGGCCACACUGGGACUGAGACACGGCCCAGACUCCUACGGGAGGCAGCAGUGGGGAAUAUUGCGCAAUGGGCGAAAGCCUGACGCAGCGACGCCGCGUGAGGGAUGAAGGCCUUCGGGUUGUAAACCUCUUUCAGCAGGGACGAAGCGAAAGUGACGGUACCUGCAGAAGAAGCACCGGCUAACUACGUGCCAGCAGCCGCGGUAAU
rnacentral:rRNA from 1 species